CACGGUGAAAAACGCUGCUGCCUUAUGCCGAGUUCACGCUGCACGAUUGUCAAAGUCGUCGGAUCGCCGGUGUUUUCACACUGCGUGACUAUCUGGGGUAGCAUUCAGUUGCUGCGGUGUUCACAUUGCACGA